rnacentral:rRNA from 1 species
AGUGAACGCUGGCGGUGGGCCUAACACAUGCAAGUCGAACGGCAGCACAGUAAGAUUUUGCUCUUACGGGUGGCGAGUGGCGGGCGGGUGAGGCAUACAUCGGCAUCUACUUUUUCUGGGGUGACAUCGUAGGGAAACUGACGCUAAUACCGCAUAUGAUCUACGGGAGAAAGCAAUGGAUCAUCGCACUUUGCGUGUCUGAUUUAGCCGAAGCCGAAUUAGCUAGUUGGGAGGGUAAAGGCACACCAAGGCGACGAUCCGUAGCUGGUCUGAGAGGAUGAUCGGCCACACUGGAACUGAGACACGGUCCAGACUCCUACGGGAGGCAGCAGUAGGGAAUAUUGGACAAUGGGCGAAAGCCUGAUGCAGCCAUGCCGCGUGAGUGAAGAAGGCCUUCGGGUUGUAAAGCCCUUUUGUUGGGAAAGAAAAGCAGCGGAUUAAUCCACCGCUGUUCUGACGGUACCCAAAGAAUAAGCCCCGGCUAACUUCGUG